CUUGGCGCUGCAAUCAUAUAAUUUUUCCAUUCAAUAUCGGCCUGGCAAGUUCAACGGGAACGCAGAUGGACUGUCCAGGCAAACCGAACUUCGGCCCUAACCGUCAGCCGGACAGUCCCAAGUUGACCCAAAAAGGAUCAAUCCGGGUCUGCCGGGGUGUUCCACAAAAGGGGAGCCAUGUAACACAUGGAAGAGCCUAACCUGCUUUUAUGAGGAUUUUAC